rnacentral:antisense_RNA from 1 species
AGGGAACUCAAAAUAGGUGUGUGGCCUCUAGUCACCAAAUGGCUUCUUGGCUCUGCUUUAAAUUUAGGCCCACUCAGCCACUUAAGAUCCAUCUUGAAGGACUGGCUCUUUCAGGGUCACAUUUGUUCAUGCAAACUAUUGAUAUUGCAUGCUAUUUACCACUAUUUCAGAUGAAAUUGCCACAGGAUUUAAAUCACUGGACUAUUUAAGAGAGCAAAGGCUUUUGGAAGCUGCCAGAGUUUCAUUCCCAGGUCCUCCACUUACCAGCAAUGAGACUUCAUGUGACCUCAGGUGCUCCUGCUCACCUUCAUAUUUUUUUAAGUAUACAUCUGUGUAUCAUGAACAAUUCUUAUCUUAAAAUUUAAAAAUGAAUUACACAUUAUAACAGCAUUACAAUCAUGAACACAUGUGCUAUGUUCUCUGGGAGACAAAGAGAAACUAUUUACCCUACUUUCCAGAAAAGGACACUGACACUUAGAGGGGACACAAGUGUUGAAACCAGGUCUGAAAUCCAAGACCCAAGAUGCUUUUUUGCUACUAAAGCAUUCAUUAUCCAGACUCUGCCUGCAUGGAGGUGAUGCACAGGAAAUGAUGAACCUGGUAAAAGUUCCCAGUCUUAAAAAUACUCCAAGUAAGGCUCUUUAAGGCUUCUGGCAGGGACAUUUUAUUUUUUGGUAAAGCCACAAUAGAUAGAAAUGCCAUAAAAACAAACAUGUAAACAAGGUAUCAGAACUUUGGUUCACUGAAACAUCUCACACCUAAAACACCUGAGGUACAAAGGCACCUUGCUAGGCGCUAGACAGCUAACCCUGGCUGCAGCCACUUUGUUCCUAGCCUUGG